AGUUCAGAUUGCAGGCUGCAACUCGCCUGCAUGAAGUUGGAAUUGCUAGUAAUCGCGCAUCAGCCACGGCGCGGUGAAUACGUUCCCGGGCCUUGUACACACCGCCCGUCAAGCCAUGGGAGCCGGGGGGUACCUGAAGUGCGUAACCGCGAGGAGCGCCCUAGGGUAAAACUGGUGACUGGGGCUAAGUCGUAACAAGGUAGC
rnacentral:rRNA from 1 species